UUAGACCUACGGGGCGCAGCAGUGAGGAAUAUUGGUCAAUGGGCGGGAGCCUGAGCCAGCCAAGUCGCGUGAGGGAAGACGGUCCUAUGGAUUGUAAACCUCUUUAGGCGGGGAGCAAUGCCGGGCACGCGUGCCCGGAGGGAGAGUACCCGCAGAAUAAGCAUCGGCUAAAUACGUGCCAGCAGCCGCGGUAAUACGUAUGGAGCAAGCGUUAUCCGGAUUUACUGGGUGUAAAGGGAGCGCAGGCGGUCUGGCAAGUCUGAUGUGAAAUACCGGGGCUCAACUCCGGGACUGCAUUGGAAACU
rnacentral:rRNA from 1 species